UGGAACGGCUGCGGGUAUCCUCUUCCGCGAUGCUGUAACCUGCUUGCCAGGCGUCGGUGGGACGCUUGGCUCGGCCAGGUGCAGUGGAUGACCGGGGAGGAUUGAGAUUAUACCGUUUGAACCUGAACAGCGCUCAGACCUGCGUAGGGAAGCCCCCAGUGUCGCCU
rnacentral:ncRNA from 1 species